rnacentral:rRNA from 1 species
CCUACGGGUGGCAGCAGUGGGGAAUAUUGGGCAAUGGGCGCAAGCCUGACCCAGCAACGCCGCGUGAAGGAAGAAGGCUUUCGGGUUGUAAACUUCUUUUGACAGGGAAGAGCAGAAGACGGUACCUGUCGAAUAAGCCAUGGCUAACUACGUGCCAGCAGCCGCGGUAAUACGUAGGUGGCAAGCGUUGUCCGGAUUUACUGGGUGUAAAGCGCUCGUAGGCGGUAUGUCAAGUCAAGGGUGAAAUCCCCGCGCUCAACGUGGGAACUGCCUUUGAAACUGGCAAACUGGAGUGUGUGAGAGGAUAGUGGAAUUCCAGGUGUAGGGGUGAAAUCCGUAGAUAUCUGGAGGAACAUCAGUGGCGAAGGCGACUAUCUGGCACAUAACUGACGCUGAGGAGCGAAAGCGUGGGUAGCAAACAGGAUUAGAUACCCUGGUAGUC